GGGUUGUGAGGUUAAGCGACUAAGCGUACACGGUGGAUGCCCUGGCAGUCAGAGGCGAUGAAGGGCGUGCUAAUCUGCGAUAAGCGCCGGUAAGGUGAUAUGAACCGUUAUAACCGGCGAUACCCGAAUGGGGAAACCCAGUGUGAUUCGUCACACUAUCAUUAACUGAAUCCAUAGGUUAAUGAGGCGAACCGGGGGAACUGAAACAUCUAAGUACCCCGAGGAAAAGAAAUCAACCGAGAUUCCCCCAGUAGCGGCGAGCGAACGGGGAGGAGCCCAGAGCCUGAAUCAGCAUGUGUGUUAGUGGAAGCGUCUGGAAAGGCGCGCGAUACAGGGUGACAGCCCCGUACACAAAAGCGCAUAUGCUGUGAGCUCGAUGAGUAGGGCGGGACACGUGGUAUCCUGUCUGAAUAUGGGGGGACCAUCCUCCAAGGCUAAAUACUCCUGACUGACCGAUAGUGAACCAGUACCGUGAGGGAAAGGCGAAAAGAACCCCGGCGAGGGGAGUGAAAAAGAACCUGAAACCGUGUACGUACAAGCAGUGGGAGCCCCACCACUAAGCCAGUGGUGAACUCCACAUACGCAUCCUUUGCUGAGGAGACGGUUAACGGAGCGAAAGCGACGUUCAACCUCAAAAGAAGCAGAGGGGGCUUAGUGGUGGGGUGACUGCGUACCUUUUGUAUAAUGGGUCAGCGACUUAUAUUCUGUAGCAAGGUUAACUGUAUAGGGGAGCCGGAGGGAAACCGAGUCUUAACCGGGCGUUAAGUUGCAGGGUAUAGACCCGAAACCCGGUGAUCUAGCCAUGGGCAGGUUGAAGGUUGGGUAACACUAACUGGAGGACCGAACCGACUAAUGUUGAAAAAUUAGCGGAUGACCUGUGGCUGGGGGUGAAAGGCCAAUCAAACCGGGAGAUAGCUGGUUCUCCCCGAAAGCUAUUUAGGUAGCGCCUCGUGAAUUCAUCUCCGGGGGUAGAGCACUGUUUCGGCUAGGGGGCCAUCCCGGCUUACCAACCCGAUGCAAACUGCGAAUACCGGAGAAUGUUAUCACGGGAGACACACGGCGGGUGCUAAUGUCCGUCGUGAAGAGGGAAACAACCCAGACCGCCAGCUAAGGUCCCAAAGUCAUGGUUAAGUGGGAAACGAUGUGGGAAGGCCCAGACAGCCAGGAUGUUGGCUUAGAAGCAGCCAUCAUUUAAAGAAAGCGUAAUAGCUCACUGGUCGAGUCGGCCUGCGCGGAAGAUGUAACGGGGCUAAACCAUGCACCGAAGCUGCGGCAGCGACACCGUGUGUUGUUGGGUAGGGGAGCGUUCUGUAAGCCUGUGAAGGUGUGCUGUGAGGCAUGCUGGAGGUAUCAGAAGUGCGAAUGCUGACAUAAGUAACGAUAAAGCGGGUGAAAAGCCCGCUCGCCGGAAGACCAAGGGUUCCUGUCCAACGUUAAUCGGGGCAGGGUGAGUCGACCCCUAAGGCGAGGCCGAAAGGCGUAGUCGAUGGGAAACGGGUUAAUAUUCCCGUACUUGGUGUUACUGCGAAGGGGGGACGGAGAAGGCUAUGUUGGCCGGGCGACGGUUGUCCCGGUUUAAGCGUGUAGGUAUGUGUUCCAGGUAAAUCCGGUUCACUUUAACACUGAGGCGUGACGACGAGGCACUACGGUGCUGAAGCAACAAAUGCCCUGCUUCCAGGAAAAGCCUCUAAGCAUCAGGUAACAUCAAAUCGUACCCCAAACCGACACAGGUGGUCAGGUAGAGAAUACCAAGGCGCUUGAGAGAACUCGGGUGAAGGAACUAGGCAAAAUGGUGCCGUAACUUCGGGAGAAGGCACGCUGACACGUAGGUGAAGUGAUUUACUCACGGAGCUGAAGUCAGCCGAAGAUACCAGCUGGCUGCAACUGUUUAUUAAAAACACAGCACUGUGCAAACACGAAAGUGGACGUAUACGGUGUGACGCCUGCCCGGUGCCGGAAGGUUAAUUGAUGGGGUCAGCGCAAGCGAAGCUCCUGAUCGAAGCCCCGGUAAACGGCGGCCGUAACUAUAACGGUCCUAAGGUAGCGAAAUUCCUUGUCGGGUAAGUUCCGACCUGCACGAAUGGCGUAAUGAUGGCCAGGCUGUCUCCACCCGAGACUCAGUGAAAUUGAACUCGCUGUGAAGAUGCAGUGUACCCGCGGCAAGACGGAAAGACCCCGUGAACCUUUACUAUAGCUUGACACUGAACAUUGAGCCUUGAUGUGUAGGAUAGGUGGGAGGCUUUGAAGUGUGGACGCCAGUCUGCAUGGAGCCGAC
rnacentral:rRNA from 1 species